GUGCUUGCUUCAGUAGCACAUAUACUUAAACAGGAAUGAUGCAGAGAAGAUUAGCAUGGCCCCUACACAAGGAAGACACACAAAUUCAUGAAGCAUUCCAUUAAAAA
ensembl:snRNA U6 U6 spliceosomal RNA